rnacentral:rRNA from 1 species
UACGAAGGGGGGCUAGCGUUGUUCGGAAUUACUGGGCGUAAAGCGCACGUAGGCGGGUGGUUAAGUCAGGGGGUGAAAUCCCGGAGCUCAACUCCGGAACUGCCUUUGAUACUGGCCAUCUAGAGAUCGGAAGAGGUGAGUGGAAUUCCCAGUGUAGAGGUGAAAUUCGUAGAUAUUGGGAAGAACACCAGUGGCGAAGGCGGCUCACUGGUCCGAUACUGACGCUGAGGUGCGAAAGCGUGGGGAGCAAACAGG